rnacentral:tRNA from 1 species
GGGCUCAUAGCUCAAUUGGUUAGAGCAAAACACUCAUAAUGUUGAGGUUGUCAGUUCAAGUCUGGCUGGGCCCA